ensembl:lincRNA
AGAGAUUUUACUUCGCCGACGUCCAAUUUUGGGACCAAGAAAAAUAAAAGUAAAGUUAAAAAAAUGAAAGACGCCAAAAACACCUGGACGUCAGCCGUUGCUCACGAAUGGAUGGUCUGGGCAGAGCUGAAAUCCCGCCAGAAAAUGGCCAUGCAUGGUCUGGACGGGGAGAGGAGGAGUGGGAACUUCAGUGCGCUCCGAGGCGUGGCAGUGAGGCCCGGACCGCUGGGGCAGCUCACCCUGCCUUCCGAAUCUGCGCUGUGGAGUUGCAGCAGAGCCCCUGAGGACAUCCUGUGCUGUACAGUAUAUUGUUCAGAGGAGGAAAGAAUGCUAGAUGCUGGGCUUGAUUUAGUGGAACCGGGACUCUUUACUACUUUUUCCCUGAUGGAAUUCGUCCAUGAAACUUGAUGUUUCUCCUAAAUCACCUGCCCAUUUUUUUCUGUGCUUCUGGUGUGCAAGAAUGCAAGGGAGCUGAUCUGAAUGUACUGCGCUGCUUCUUGUCCGUGGAUUAACAUUAACUUUUUAAAAGGGCUGUCUGGGGUUCCCCCAGCCUUGCUGAAGACAUGCUGCCAAGUUUGAGCUUGAGCUGAGGAGCUCCACAUAAAAAAAACUGCAUUGCAGAUAGUGUUUUAAAAUGUGUCAGUGCCAAGUGUAUAUUGGGUUAGAGAAGCUCAUGCAUAAUGGCGAUUUAUUUAAAACAGCCAACCCAAUCAUUCCUCUAUUACAAUCAAUUCCAAAAAUUUAAAAAAUUUAAAUGUGAUAUGAGGGAUUUUGAGGAAAAAAAGGAAAGCCCUUUCAGCGGUCUGUAGAAAUGUUUGGCACUCUCAUCAGCUCUUCGUAUUUGGUCUUCUCUGUCCUUUGCCUGUCUUUUACUAUGGUCAUGGAGGCUUCUGUCUUCUCAACAGGGACCACCCACAUUUUUUAAAAGAGCAACGGUACAUUUUCGACACCCCCCUACUGUCCCAAUAAAAAUGUGAUUUCCCACCAUCCUCCCUCGGUUCACUUACCAGACUAAUCCCCUUCUUUAUGGGCUCAGUUAACCCGGCGGUUCGGAUUACCAGGAUUAAAUCCCCUGUUUGUCUCUGUGAAAGCCAUUAGGAAAGGCUAACAGAGUGACCUUGCCUUUCACCCCCUCAUACCUCUCCUUCCUGGGAACCCACUCCUCCCCUAUCUCCCUGUCCUCUUUGCUUGCUGUCCACACGUGGUCAUCACUGUCCAGCUCACUGCAGGACCCCUGGACUGGAGGAAUAACUGGAUGGGCAAGGAUAGAGAUGGGUAGAUGCAGAGCAAGGCAUGGGCUGUACAGCUAAAGAGUUUUCACACAUUGGAGGAAAUGGGAAACUGGUAAUAAACAGGUGGGAGUGUGGAUUAACCCAUCCUAAAAUAACUACAAAUGAAACUGAUCGUUGGUUCUAACUGUUCCUGUAACGAUCUGUUAUGAGUCUAACUCUCAACAUAUGUAGAAAAUGAAACUAAUGUACUGUACUUAUUGUGAAAGGGAAGGCUCUAAUUUUUGCUUAUCUAGGUGGAGAUCUUACAUGAAUUUCCUGUGAACAUCAGUGAACAAAUAAAUUGUUU